rnacentral:rRNA from 1 species
UACGUAGGGUGCAAGCGUUAAUCGGAAUUACUAGGCGUAAAGCGUGCGCAGGCGGCUUUGCAAGACAGAUGUGAAAUCCCCGGGCUUAACCUGGGAACUGCAUUUGUGACUGCAUGGCUGGAGUGCGGCAGAGGGGGAUGGAAUUCCGCGUGUAGCAGUGAAAUGCGUAGAUAUGCGGAGGAACACCGAUGGCGAAGGCAAUCCCCUGGGCCUGCACUGACGCUCAUGCACGAAAGCGUGGGGAGCAAACAGG